rnacentral:rRNA from 1 species
GCUUAACCUCGGAAUGCAUUUGAACUGGUGGGCUUGAGUGGCGGAGAGGGAAGUGGAUUCCCAGUGUAACGGUGAAUGCGUAGAUAUUGGGAGGAACACCAGUGGCGAAGGCGGCUUUCUGGACUAUAACUGACGCUGAGGCACGAAAGCUUGGGGAGCAAACAGGAUUAGAUACCCUGGUAGUCCUAGCCGUAAACGAUGGGUACUAGGUGUCGGGGGUUUCAAUACCUUCCGGGCCGUAGUAAAGUAAUUAAUUACCCCGCCUGGGAAGUACGUCCGCAAGAAUGACUUCAAAUGAAUUGACGGA